AGCAGCCGCGGUAAUUCCAGCUCCAAUAGCGUAUAUUAAAGUUGUUGCAGUUAAAAAGCUCGUAGUUGAAUUUCGGGAUUAGUAAGUUGGUCGUGCCUCCGGUAUGUACUGGCUCUACUGGUUCCUCCUUCUUGAAGAACUGUAAUGUCAUUAAUUUGGUGUUGCAGGGAAACAGGACCGUUACUUUGAAAAAAUUAGAGUGUUUAAAGCAGGCUAACGCUUGAAUACAUUAGCAUGGAAUAAUGAAAUAGGACGUUUGAUCCUAUUUUGUUGGUUUCUAGGAUUGACGUAAUGAUUAAUAGGGAUAGUUGGGGGCAUUAGUAUUCAAUUGUCAGAGGUGAAAUUCUUGGAUUUAUUGAAGACUAACUACUGCGAAAGCAUUUGCCAAGGAUGUUUUCAUUAAUCAAGAACGAAAGUUAGGGGAUCGAAGACGAUCAGAUACCGUCGUAGUCUUAACCAUAAACUAUGCCGACUAGGGAUCGGAUGAUGUUAAUUUUUUAAUGACUCAUUCGGCGCCUUA
rnacentral:rRNA from 1 species